UUCAAAAUCCGCUCUAACUUGAGCAGCAUGCAACUGAGGAACAAAUCCACAAUGAAUUCCAAUGCUGGUCUUUCAAAUGUGAUUGAAUGCCAAUGUCGACAAGAUAUUCUCUAAGAGUCCCUUUUUGAAAAGGCCAUGGGCUCCAAGAGAUCAAUGCUUCUCAGCCUUAAGCACUACUUCUUUCUUCUCAAAAAAUCAAGAAGGAUUUAUCCACGGCAGGGAGGAUUACAAUUAAAUUACAUUGUACAAAU